rnacentral:rRNA from 1 species
AGAGUUUGAUCCUGGCUCAGAUUGAACGCUGGCGGCAGGCUUAACACAUGCAAGUCGAGCGGAAACGAUGGUAGCUUGCUACCAGGCGUCGAGCGGCGGACGGGUGAGUAAUACUUAGGAAUCUACCUAGUAGUGGGGGAUAGCACGGGGAAACUCGUAUUAAUACCGCAUACGACCUACGGGAGAAAGGGGGCAGUUUACUGCUCUCGCUAUUAGAUGAGCCUAAGUCGGAUUAGCUAGAUGGUGGGGUAAAGGCCUACCAUGGCGACGAUCUGUAGCUGGUCUGAGAGGAUGAUCAGCCACACCGGGACUGAGACACGGCCCGGACUCCUACGGGAGGCAGCAGUGGGGAAUAUUGGACAAUGGGGGAAACCCUGAUCCAGCCAUGCCGCGUGUGUGAAGAAGGCCUUUUGGUUGUAAAGCACUUUAAGCAGUGAAGAAGACUCUUCGGUUAAUACCCGGAGACGAUGACAUUAGCUGCAGAAUAGCCACCGGCUAACUCUGUGCCAGCAGCCGCGGUAAUACAGAGGGCGCCAGCGUUAAUCGGAAUUACUGGGCGUAAAGCGAGCGUAGGUGGCUUGAUAAGUCAGAUGUGAAAUCCCCGGGCUUAACCUGGGAACUGCAUCUGGAAACUGUUAGGCUAGAGUACGGUGAGAGGGAAGUAGAAUUUUCCAGGUGUACGCGGUGCAAAUGCGUAGAGAUCUGAAGGACAUACCCGAAUGGCGAAGGCAGCUUCCUGGCAUCAUACUGACACUGAGGCUCGAAAGCGUGGGUAGCAAACAGGAUUAGAUACCCUGGUAGUCCACGCCGUAAACGAUGUCUACUAGUCGUUGGGUCCCUUGAGGACUUAGUGACGCAGCUAACGCAAUAAGUAGACCGCCUGGGGAGUACGGCCGCAAGGUUAAAACUCAAAUGAAUUGACGGAGUAGGAAUCGCUAGUAAUCGCGGAUCAGAAUGCCGCGGUGAAUACGUUCCCGGGCCUUGUACACACCGCCCGUCACACCAUGGGAGUUGAUUGCACCAGAAGUGGAUAGCUUAACCUUCGGGGAGGCGUUCACCACGGUGUGGUUGAUGACUGGGGUGAAGUCGUAACAAGUAGCCGUAGGGGAACACUGCGGCUGGAUCACCUCCUUAUCGAUCCCCGGUACCGAGCUCGAUCAUGC